UACGUAGGGUGCGAGCGUUAAUCGGAAUUACUGGGCGUAAAGCGUGCGCAGGCGGUUUUUUAAGACAGGCGUGAAAUCCCCGGGCUUAACCUGGGAACGGCGCUUGUGACUGGAAGGCUAGAGUAUGGCAGAGGGGGGUGGAAUUCCACGUGUAGCAGUGAAAUGCGUAGAGAUGUGGAGGAACACCAAUGGCGAAGGCAGCCCCCUGGGCCAAUACUGACGCUCAUGCACGAAAGCGUGGGGAGCAAACAGG
rnacentral:rRNA from 1 species